rnacentral:rRNA from 1 species
GAUGAACGCUGGCGGCGUGCUUAACACAUGCAAGUCGAACGGUGAAGGCGGAGCUUGCUCUGCUGGAUCAGUGGCGAACGGGUGAGUAACACGUGAGCAAUCUGCCCCUGACUCUGGGAUAAGCGCUGGAAACGGCGUCUAAUACUGGAUACGAGCUGCGAAGGCAUCUUCAGCAGCUGGAAAGAAUUUCGGUCAGGGAUGAGCUCGCGGCCUAUCAGCUUGUUGGUGAGGUAAUGGCUCACCAAGGCGUCGACGGGUAGCCGGCCUGAGAGGGUGACCGGCCACACUGGGACUGAGACACGGCCCAGACUCCUACGGGAGGCAGCAGUGGGGAACAUUGCACAAUGGGCGAAAGCCUGAUGCAGCAACGCCGCGUGAGGGACGACGGCCUUCGGGUUGUAAACCUCUUUUAGCAGGGAAGAAGCGAAAGUGACGGUACCUGUAGAAAAAGCGCCGGCUAACUACGUG